AUUGAACGCUGGCGGCAGGCCUAACACAUGCAAGUCGAGCGGAUGAAGGGAGCUUGCUCCUGGAUUCAGCGGCGGACGGGUGAGUAAUGCCUAGGAAUCUGCCUGGUAGUGGGGGAUAACGUCCGGAAACGGGCGCUAAUACCGCAUACGUCCUGAGGGAGCAAGUGGGGCAUCCUCGGACCUCACGCUAUCAGAUGAGCCUAGGUCGGAUUAGCUAGUUGGUGGGGUAAAGGCCUACCAAGGCGACGAUCCGUAACUGGUCUGAGAGGAUGAGCAGUCACACUGGAACUGAGACACGGUCCAGACUCCUACGGGAGGCAGCAGUGGGGAAUAUUGGACGAUGGGCGAAGGCCUGAUCCAGCCAUGCUGCGUGAAUGAAGAAGGUCUUCGGAUUGUAAAACACUUUAAGUUGGGAGGAAGGGAAGUAAGUUAAUACCGUGCUGUUUUGACGUUACCAACAGAAUAAGCACCGGCUAACUUCGUG
rnacentral:rRNA from 1 species